rnacentral:rRNA from 1 species
UCGAGAAUAUUCGACAAUGGGCGAAAGCCUGAUCGAGCGACGCCGCGUGCAGGAAGAAGGUCUUAGGAUUGUAAACUGCUUUUCUACCGGAGAAACUUUUGUGAUAGUACGGUAGGAAUAAGAAGCUGCUAACUUCGUGCCAGCAGCAGCGGUAAUACGAAGGCUUCAAGCGUUAUCCGGAUUUAUUGGGCGUAAAGGGCGCGUAGGAGGUCAGACACGUUUUGCUUUAAAUCCCUAGGCUCAACUUAGGGAAUGGGUAGAAUACGGUCAGACUAGAGGGCGUUAGAGGUCACUAGAACGCACGGUGUAGGGGUGAAAUCCGUUGAUAUCGUGCGGAAUACCAAAGGCGAAGGCAUGUGACUGGGACGUUCCUGACUCUGAGGCGCGAAAGCGUGGGGAGCAAAAAGG